UACGGAGGGUGCAAACGUUGCUCGGAAUUAUUGGGCGUAAAGCGCACGUAGGCGGACCAUCAAGUCGGAUGUGAAAUCCCUCGGCUUAACCGAGGACGUGCACUCGAAACUGAUGGUCUUGAGUACGAAAGAGGAUCGCGGAAUUCCCGGUGUAGAGGUGAAAUUCGUAGAUAUCAGGAGGAACACCGAUGGCGAAGGCAGCUCGCUGGGACGGUACUGACGCUGAGGCGCGAAAGCGUGGGGAGCAAACAGG
rnacentral:rRNA from 1 species